CCCUUAGAUGUUCUGGGCCGCACGCGCGCUACACUGAUGCAUUCAACGAGCACCCGCUGGGCCGAGAGGUCCGGCUAAUCUUUGAACGUGCAUCGUGCUGGGGAUAGAUGAUUGCAAUUAUUCAUCUUCAACGAGGAAUUCCUAGUAAACGCAAGUCAUCAGCUUGCAUUGAUUACGUCCCUGCCCUUUGUACACACCGCCCGUCGCACCUACCGAUUGAAUGGUCCGGUGAAAUUCUCGGACGCGGACUUGCGAUGUUAAUUCGGAGCUUGACUGUGGAAGUUAAUUAAACCUUACCAUUUAGAGGAAGGUGAAGUCGUAACA
rnacentral:rRNA from 1 species